rnacentral:rRNA from 1 species
UGCCAGCAGCCGCGGUAACACGGGGGGCGCAAGCGUUAUUCGGAAUUAUUGGGCGUAAAGGGCGCGCAGGCGGUCUUGUCAGUCAGAUGUGAAAGCCCGGGGCUCAACCUCGGACGUGCAUUUGAAACAGCAAGACUUGAGUACGGUAGAGGAAAGCGGAAUUCCUGGUGUAGAGGUGAAAUUCGUAGAUAUCAGGAGGAACACCGGUGGCGAAGGCGAGAUGCUGGACACUAACUGACGCUGAGACACGAAGGCCAGGGUAGCGAAAGGGAUUAGAUA